rnacentral:rRNA from 1 species
CGGACGGGUGAGUAAUGCUUGGGAAUCUGGCUUAUGGAGGGGGGUAACUACGGGAAACUGUAGCUAAUACCGCGUAAUAUCGAAAGAUUAAAGUGUGGGACCUUCGGGCCACAUGCCAUGGGAUGAGCCCAAGUGGGAUUAGGUAGUUGGUGGGGUAAAGGCCUACCAAGCCUGCGAUCUCUAGCUGGUCUGAGAGGAUGGCCAGCCACACUGGAACUGAGACACGGUCCAG